UACGUAGGUGGCGAGCGUUGUCCGGAUUUACUGGGUGUAAAGGGCGUGUAGGCGGGGAAACAAGUCAGAUGUGAAAUCCCGGGGCUUAACUCCGGAGCUGCAUCUGAAACUGUUUUUCUUGAGUGCUGGAGAGGAAAGUGGAAUUUCCAGUGUAGCGGGGAAAUGCGUAGAGAUUGGGAGGAACACCAGUGGCGAAGGCGGCUUUCUGGACAGUAACUGACGCUGAGGCGCGAAAGCGUGGGGAGCAAACAGG
rnacentral:rRNA from 1 species